rnacentral:rRNA from 1 species
AACGUAGGAGACAAACGUUAUCCGGAGUUACUGGGCGUAAAGGGCGUGUAGGCGGUUAGUUAAGUCUGGCGUGAAAGCUCUCGGCUAAACCGGGAGAGGUCGUUGGAUACUGGCUGACUAGAGGACGGUAGAGGCGUGUGGAAUUCCGGGUGUAGUGGUGAAAUGCGUAGAGAUCCGGAGGAACACCAGUGGCGAAGGCGACACGCUGGGCCGUACCUGACGCUAAGGCGCGACAGCAUGGGGAGCAAACGGG